rnacentral:rRNA from 1 species
AACGAACGCUGGCGGCAUGCCUAACACAUGCAAGUCGAACGAGACCUUCGGGUCUAGUGGCGCACGGGUGCGUAACGCGUGGGAACCUGCCCUUAGGGUCGGAAUAACUCUCCGAAAGGGGUGCUAAUACCGGACAAUGUCUUCGGACCAAAGAUUUAUCGCCUUUGGUUGGGCCCGCGUUGGAUUAGCUAGUUGGUAGGGUAAAAGCCUACCAAGGCGACGAUCCAUAGCUGGUCUGAGAGGAUGAUCAGCCACACUGAGACUGAGACACGGCCCAGACUCCUACGGGAGGCAGCAGUGGGGAAUAUUGGACAAUGGGCGGAAGCCUGAUGCAGCAAUGCCGCGUGAGUGAUGAAGGCCUUAGGGUUGUAAAGCUCUUUUACCCGGGAUGAUAAUGACAGUACCGGGAGAAUAAGCUCCGGCUAACUCCGUG